rnacentral:rRNA from 1 species
UGUUAAGGAUGUGAAAUCCCCGGGCUCAACCUGGGAACAGCAUACUAAACUGGUGGACUAGAGUAUUGCAGGGGGAGACGGAAUUCCGGGUGUAGCGGUGGAAUGCGUAGAUAUCUGGAAGAACACCGAAGGCGAAGGCAGUCUCCUGGGCAAAUACUGACGCUCAUAUGCGAAAGCGUGGGUAGCAAACAGGAUUAGAUACCCUGGUAGUCCACGUCGUAAACGAUGUCAAUUAGGAGCUUGGGCAAUAGUCUGGGUUCCGCAGCUAACGCAAUAAAUUGACCGCCUGGGGAGU